AUUGAACGCUGGCGGCAGGCCUAACACAUGCAAGUCGAGCGGAUGAGAAGAGCUUGCUCUUCGAUUCAGCGGCGGACGGGUGAGUAAUGCCUAGGAAUCUGCCUGGUAGUGGGGGACAACGUUUCGAAAGGAACGCUAAUACCGCAUACGUCCUACGGGAGAAAGCAGGGGACCUUCUGGCCUUGCGCUAUCAGUUGAGCCUAGGUCGGAUUAGCUUGUUGGUGAGGUAAUGGCUCACCAAGGCGACGAUCCGUAACGGGUCUGAGAGGAUGAUCAGUCACACUGGAACUGAGACACGGUCCAGACUCCUACGGGAGGCAGCAGUGGGGAAUAUUGGACAAUGGGCGAAAGCCUGAUCCAGCCAUGCCGCGUGUGUGAAGAAGGUCUUCGGAUUGUAAAGCACUUUAAGUUGGGAGGAAGGGCAGCUAGCGAAUACCUGGUUGUUUUGACGUUACCGACAGAAUAAGCACCGGCUAACUCUGUGCCAGCCGCCGCCGUAA
rnacentral:rRNA from 1 species